GAUGGCAUCUGGGGGCUCGGAAUGGAGAGCACCGUGCGAGAGGCAGGGCUUAGACCGAAAGUGGGGCGGUGGGAGUAAGUGGCCCAGGACGGAGGAGCGUGAAGCUGGCCAGAGAUGGGCCCUCACUUAGGUGCCUGCAAUUAAGGCGAGAGACUGAACUGCCGGAAGCUCCGGCUCUACACUUCCGGAAACAGCGAAGGAAUCGGGUGGACUUUAGGAACGUUGGAAGUAACAAGUGAGAUGGGUAAAGCAUGCUGAAAUAACAUCAACCACAUGAAAAAGGCGUUCUGCUCCUGUCCCAUGACAUCUUUCAAGAUCUGGUAGAAAGCUUUCCUGGAUCUCCUUGAGGAAUCAGUCCCGGGGUUCAGGGGAGCCCAAUAAUGAAGACCUCUCUUCCCCACCUGAGUUCUGAACCAGCUGAGAAGUAUAUGGAAACAGGACAAAUGCCAUCCUUACUCUGAUAAGGCUGAAGAAUGUGGCACGUGGAUCUCAUAAUCUGGAAGUGGACUGACAUGCCUACUGCAGGGAUCUGCCCUCAGAGGAGCCAUAUGCAAGAAGCUGUACCUAAGAGGCCUUGUCCACAUCUGAACCAUCCACAUCUGGAUGAAGUUCCCAAGAUAUUGGACUCUGCGUUUGUGAUAAAACUAUAUGAUAGUUUCCAGCAAUCUCGGAACUUGUCCCAUGAAGAGAUGGAGUGGGUUUCUCUACCUCUUGAAUUGUGGUUGGCUCAUGACUCGAUUCAACCAACCAACCAACCAACCAACCAACCAACCAACCAACCAGACAGACAAAAAUGUGACAGAAGUGACAAUGUGUAAACUAAAGUAACAGACCACAGUCGCCGGUAUUUUCUUUCCUCUUCAAAACCACUUCUGCUCCAAAGACCAUGAACCUGAACUGAAGAAACGACUCUUUCCUGCUGGUGUGAGAUAAUUCAGUCUCCAUGAUGUCUUAAUCCUGGGCCUCCCUUAAUUGACUUCUAACUGUGCUGAACUGUGGCUGCUAGGAGUUGCAAUGUGGAUCGCAAUUUACAAGGCACUGGAAUCGUUUCUCGUCCUCAAAUUAGUCCUGAGCCAUACUCGAGAAAGAUUAAAAAAAAAAAAAAAAAGGUUUACCUUUCCUGGCUGUCUUGCCAUCUCAAAAUGGCCACAGAACUUACUCAGCUUUGAAGAGACUGGAUCCUCCAUUUGAGACCUGAAGGCCCUCCAUCAUGCAAGACUGACUGCCUGCCUAUGACUUUGUGGAGAGGCUGGUAUUAACAUACCAGGGCUCAUGGGUGAGCAUUCAGAUUGUUCUAUGAGGACGGUACAGUAUUGAUUUCAAGUUUACAUAAGACACUUGCUUGGAAGCAAAUUACAGGUUUUACAGGGACAACACACAUUGGCAUCAGGAGUGUUGGUUCCAGAAGACCGCUUGAGAAUUAAAUAUGUGCUCUACUGUGUCAGUGUCACCUAGGAGCUCUACUUAAGAGAAAAAGUGGAAGAAGAGGAGAAGAAGUAGAUUACAUUUUUAAAAUUAUCAUCAACAUAAAUUGAGUCUCAGGUGCUCUUUUUCUCCUUCUGCUUCCUGACACGUGAUGACUACAUCUGCAAGCGUUGGAGUCGGACAUCCUAAGCCUGAGCCCAGACUUUGCCACUUGCCAGCGUGUUGGAGCUAGAUUAACCUUCUUUAACCCUCAGCUCUCUCAUCGAGCUGGAGAAUGGCCUCAGGUUGGAGGUGGAAAAGACUGGAAUGUGGUUUUAUGCCAGGCUGUGAGCUAUACAAGCCACUUCACCAGGAAACCAUUUCCAAGCCACAUACCACUAGUAAUUAAUGCUGUAGUCGUGACACUUCCGUAAGUGGGUUACAGAUUGUUGCUGUGGUGUGUACAAAGCUUAUUGGAUAAAUGUCUUUAGGAAAGGGGAAGGCAUUAGUCUCUUGGUGAUCAAUAGGAUAAUAAAUUGUGUUUUGUUUCUGUACCUGGAUUUAACGUUUACCUUUCAAAUAAACGCUAGCUUGCUCAUUG